rnacentral:rRNA from 1 species
GACGAACCGUGCGAACGUUAUUCGGAAUCACUGGGCUUAAAGCGCGUGUAGGCGGGACGGCACGUCGGUCGCUGAAAGCCCCCGGCUCAACCGGGGAAGGGGCGCCGAUACGACCGACCUGGAGGGACGUAGGGGGACCUGGAACUUCCGGUGGAGCGGUGAAAUGCGUUGAGAUCGGAAGGAACGCCCGUGGCGAAAGCGAGGUCCUGGACGUCUACUGACGCUGAGACGCGAAAGCCAGGGGAGCAAACGGG